rnacentral:rRNA from 1 species
GAUUAACGCUAGCGGCAGGCCUAAUACAUGCAAGUCGAACGGCAGCACGGGUAGCAAUACCUGGUGGCGAGUGGCGCACGGGUGCGUAACGCGUAUGCAACCUACCUAUAACCGGGGAAUAGCCUUCUGAAAGGAAGAUUAAUACCGCAUAAUAUCACUGGACGGCAUCGCCCGGUGAUCAAAACUCCGGUGGUUAUAGAUGGGCAUGCGUGACAUUAGCUAGUUGGUGAGGUAACGGCUCACCAAGGCUACGAUGUCUAGGGGGUCUGAGAGGAUGCUCCCCCACACUGGUACUGAGACACGGACCAGAGUCCUACGGGAGGCAGCAGUAAGGAAUAUUGGACAAUGGGCGCAAGCCUGAUCCAGCCAUGCCGCGUGAAGGAUGACGGCCCUCUGGGUUGUAAACUUCUUUUAUACGGGAAUAAACCCCUCGAUUCUUCGGGGGCUGAAUGUACUGUAUGAAUAAGGAUCGGCUAACUUCGUGCCAGCAGCCGCAGUAA